GUUAGGAAUAUUGGACAAUGGGCGCAAGCCUGAUCCAGCCAUGCCGCGUGAGUGAUGAAGGCCUUCGGGUUGUAAAGCUCUUUAGCCGAUGAUUAUAAUGACUGUAGUCGGAAAAUAAGCCCCGGCUAACUUCGUGCCAGCAGCCGCGGUAAUACGAAGGGGGCGAGCGUUAUUCGGAAUCACUGGGCGUAAAGCGUGCGUAGGCGGCUUUGCAAGUUGGGAGUGAAAGCCCAGGGCUCAACCCUGGAAUUGCUCUCAAAACUGCAAGGCUCGAAUUCGGGAGAGGAUAGCGGAAUUGUCAGUGUAGCAGUGAAAUGCGUAGAUAUUGACAGGAACACCAGUGGCGUAAGCGGCUAUCUGGACCGAUAUUGACGCUGAGGCACGAAAGUGUGGGGAUCAAACAGGAUUAGAAACCCGGGUAGUCC
rnacentral:rRNA from 1 species